ensembl:lncRNA PDE3A-AS1 PDE3A antisense RNA 1
GGAGUUGCCAGUGCUUACCUGUUCCCUCGGUAUACAGGGCAGGGAGGUCCUCCGAUGGGACUUGCUGCUGCAGCCGGACAUCUCGGCGGACACGACGGAGCUGGACCGCCUCCUCCUCUUAAACACCGGGAUAUCUUCCUUGGUCCCAGCAAUCAGCUGGGACCCCAAAUGCUCCCUUGGAGCCGCCUCCGCGGACUGCGGCAAGAUUUGUUCCACGUACCUGGCCAAGAGGAUCCCCAGCACGCCGGCCAGGUACGCCAGGUAAGGUCUCCAGGCGACCUUGAACCUCUCUAAGGAAAUGAGGGACACGGUCCUGACCGCGCUAGUCAAGGCGAUCAUGAGGACGCCCAGCCUCAGCCUCAGCACCAGCCAUGUCGCGGCGGCCAAGCAGCUGAGCACCACCCCCGCGGCGGGGAGUGAGAACCUUACUAAAAAGUCAAUAUUCCUACCCAACUGGAUCAAGAUUGUAGAACACAAGGAUGCAUCCUUAACCUUAUAAAAAUGCCUUGGAAUUUUUAAUGAGCA